rnacentral:misc_RNA from 1 species
AGCACACACGCACCACACCUCCAUCCCUUUGCCGUCACUCAAGAUUGGUCGUCACUACCGCCCCUCACGUAAAAGAACGAAACGGGAGAAGCAACUGUGCUCUUACUCUCUCCAGCUCAUACUUUUUCUUCGGCUAACAUCAGCAGCUUGUGCGUCCGCGGUUUUAUUUCUCCUCCGCGGCAUUCACAACUCAUGUCCAGCCCUCCCUGAGCGCGCACCUGAGAGCGGCAAGUAGAGAAAGGAGCACAGAUACGGCACCAUGGCCUCGAAGCUCAUCCGUGUGCUGGCGGCCGCCCUGCUGGUUGCAGCGGCCGUGUCGGUCGACGCGCGCCUUGUCGUGCGCAUGGUGCAGGUGGUACACCGGCACGGUGCGCGCAGUGCCCUCAUCAACGACAACACGACGGAGAUUUGCGGCACCCUGUACCCGUGCGGUGAGCUAACCGGCGAGGGCGUCGAGAUGGUCCGUGCUAUCGGCGAGUUUGCCCGCAGCCGCUACAACGACCUCUCAUUGGUGGAGAGCCCUCUCUUCCCGUCGACGCAGUACAACUCCUCUCUCGUGUACACCCGCUCCACCCACACCCAGCGCACCAUCCAGAGCGCGACCGCCUUUCUGCGCGGCCUCUUCCAGGACGACUACUUCUACCCGGUCGUGUACUCGCGCAACAGAACGACCGACAUGCUGCUCAGCACCGACGCGGUGCCGUCCGUGAUGGGCCGUAGCUGGCUGGACAACCCGGCGCUGUACGCCGCCCUCAACCCGGUGAUAGAUGAGCACCUCAGCUGGGACGCCAUCCAGAGCGCCGCCAAGGACGCGUGGAUCGAGGGCCUGUGCACGGACUUCAACGCCCGCACCAGCUGCGUCCUCGACAUGUACGACGUGGCCGCCGCCUUCGAGGCUUCCGGGCGUCUUGACAACGCCACCAAUCUCAAGGCGGUGUAUCCGGGCCUUAUGGAGGUGAACGCCGCCUGGUUCAAGUAUGUCUUCAGCUGGAACCACACGAGCAAGCUCGAUCUCACGCAGGGUUCCGCCUCGCAGAACCUUGCGCAGACAAUGCUGGCCAACAUCAACGCCAACCGCCUCCCCGCCUUAUAUAAAUUGAUAGCUACGUGUUGGCCUGCAGUUGGCGUGAUUUUUCAUAAAUUCCCAUUCUUUCGUUUUCCAUAUCGAAGACGCGAUUGCGCCCUUCAUGCAUUUCGCGUGUAUUAACCGUCUCUGUUCUUUUUUGUUCCCUAGUUGCGGGGUCCUGCAGAUGAACGUGUGAAACGGCCCGCGAUUUUCUGGUGGUUUGUCGUCGCCCGAAGACAAGGCAUUUAUACUUCAAUGUUGUACAGUAUGCUCGUGGCACCCCUACAUGUGUUUGCAUGAGGUCUGUACCCCGAAGUCUCUAAUCCUGCACGUGACGUUCUCGUCGUUUCAUUUCCUUUUCCCGUAGGUUUCUUGCUUAUUCUCGUGGACGGUGUCGCUUCGCAUGCUCCUCGGAAUCGCGUUCCAGUCGACGUGUCGUCAUGCGGCCUCCCUAUUCCCGGUUCUUUGAGGAAGCAAGCAUCCUGAAAAAGCAGGUGGCCCAGUGGUUUUGAGUGGAUGGCACUGUCUGCACGAACUGUGCAGCAUUGGCCCCCACCAACAUGUGUAGACGCACUUGCAACCGCGCAGGAAUGUGUCACGGUCCGUCUUGUGAGCAGCGUGAUGCCUGUGUGUGCUCUCCCCAGCACCAGAAGAUACGGAAGUUGUGCUCGGCCAGUGCACCAGCGAUGUUGCUCUCGGCUCUGCUAGUCGGGCAAGGUCUGGUCCUCGCCGAGAAGUUUGCUUGACAUGUAAACGAGACCCGCAAGCGUGGCGAAGACGCAGCCAAACGUGCCCCAUCCCCUAUGUCUGCCAAAGCGGGAUCACCCCUGGUGGCGAAUGGGGGUUCUGCACCUACGACCUAGGGAGGUCAGAGCGAUGUAUCGCUGCUGAUGACUGCGGUCAGGUCUUGGGCAGUGUUGCGUUCGAGCGACCUGCGAAGCGGGUGGGCGGGUAGAGCUUGAGGCAGGGUUCCGUGAAGCUCAUGCUCCUCGGCCAGAUAGACUCGUUGAAAGAAAAGG